rnacentral:rRNA from 1 species
AUUGAACGCUGGCGGCAUGCCUUACACAUGCAAGUCGAACGGCAGCACGGGUGCUUGCAUCUGGUGGCGAGUGGCGAACGGGUGAGUAAUACAUCGGAACGUACCUUAUCGUGGGGGAUAACGCAACGAAAGCUGUGCUAAUACCGCAUACGCCCUGAGGGGGAAAGCGGGGGAUCGCAAGACCUCGCGCGAUUAGAGCGGCCGAUGCCUGAUUAGCUAGUUGGUGGGGUAAAAGCCCACCAAGGCGACGAUCAGUAGCUGGUCUGAGAGGACGAUCAGCCACACUGGGACUGAGACACGGCCCAGACUCCUACGGGAGGCAGCAGUGGGGAAUUUUGGACAAUGGGGGCAACCCUGAUCCAGCAAUGCCGCGUGAGUGAAAAAGGCCUUCGGGUUGUAAAGCUCUUUUGUCAGGGAAGAAACACCGGCUCUAACACAGUCCGGGAAUGACGGUACCUGAAGAAUAAGCACCGGCUAACUACGUGCCAGCCGCCGCGGUAA